rnacentral:rRNA from 1 species
UACGGAGGGUGCAAGCGUUAUCCGGAAUCACUGGGUUUAAAGGGUGCGUAGGCGGAUUUUCAAGUCAGAAGUGAAAGCUUCCCGCUCAACGGGAAAAUGGCCUUUGAUACUGUUAAUCUUGAGUACAGUUGAGGUGGGCGGAAUGUGUGGUGUAGCGGUGAAAUGCUUAGAUAUCACACAGAACACCGAUUGCGAAGGCAGCUCACUAAACUGUUACUGACGCUGAGGCACGAAAGCGUGGGGAGCAAACAGG